rnacentral:rRNA from 1 species
UACGAACGCUGGCGGCGUGCUUAACACAUGCAAGUCGAACGGAAAGGCCCUGCUUUUGUGGGGUGCUCGAGUGGCGAACGGGUGAGUAACACGUGAGUAACCUGCCCUUGACUUUGGGAUAACUUCAGGAAACUGGGGCUAAUACCGGAUAGGAGCUCCUGCUGCAUGGUGGGGGUUGGAAAGUUUCGGCGGUUGGGGAUGGACUCGCGGCUUAUCAGCUUGUUGGUGGGGUAGUGGCUUACCAAGGCUUUGACGGGUAGCCGGCCUGAGAGGGUGACCGGCCACAUUGGGACUGAGAUACGGCUCAGACUCCUACGGGAGGCAGCAGUGGGGAAUAUUGCACAAUGGGCGGAAGCCUGAUGCAGCAACGCCGCGUGCGGGAUGACGGCCUUCGGGUUGUAAACCGCUUUCGCCUGUGACGAAGCGUGAGUGACGGUAAUGGGUAAAGAAGCACCGGCUAACUACGUG